CCUACGGGAGGCAGCAGUGGGGAAUCUUGCGCAAUGGGCGAAAGCCUGACGCAGCAACGCCGCGUGCGGGAAGAAGGCUUUCGGGCUGUAAACCGCUUUCAGCAGGAACGAAAAUGACGGUACCUGCAGAAGAAGGAGCGGCCAACUAUGUGCCAGCAGCCGCGGUGAUACAUAGGCUUCAAGCGUUGUCCGGAUUUAUUGGGCGUAAAGAGUUCGUAGGCGGUCGAGUAAGUCGGGUGUGAAAAUUCUGGGCUCAACCCAGAGACGCCACCCGAUACUGCUUGACUUGAGUUCGAUAGGGGAGUGGGGAAUUCCUAGUGUAGCGGUGAAAUGCGCAGAUAUUAGGAGGAACACCGGUGGCGAAGGCGCCACUCUGGAUCGAUACUGACGCUGAGGAACGAAAGCAUGGGUAGCAAACAGGAUUAGAUACCCUGGUAGUCCAUGCCGUAAACGGUGGGCACUAGGUGUGGGUUUCUAUUAACGAAAUCCGCGCCGUCGCUAACGCAUUAAGUGCCCCGCCUGGGGAGUACGGUCGCAGACUAAACUACAANAGAUAGACGCGNGAGACGNGCCGACGACGACGACGAGGGAGAGG
rnacentral:rRNA from 1 species